rnacentral:tRNA from 1 species
AUGCGAAGCGAGCGCUCUACCCCUGAGCUACACCCCC